UACAGAGGGUGCGAGCGUUAAUCGGAAUUACUGGGCGUAAAGGGCGCGUAGGCGGUUGGACAAGUGGGAUGUGAAAUCCCCGGGCUUAACCCGGGAACUGCAUUUCAGACUGUCUGGCUGGAGUACUGUAGAGGGUAGUGGAAUUUCCGGUGUAGCGGUGAAAUGCGUAGAGAUCGGAAGGAACACCAGUGGCGAAGGCGGCUACCUGGACAGAUACUGACGCUGAGGCGCGAGAGCGUGGGGAGCGAACGGG
rnacentral:rRNA from 1 species